rnacentral:lncRNA from 1 species
UUGACAUAAUGGAGGUUCCACUGAGAUCUGAAGUCCCGGCUGCCUGAGCCCUCCUGCUAACCAGGACCCCGAGACUUGAGGUACCUCACACAAUCCGUUUGAGAUUGGGUCAGGAGUCCAGUUAGCAAGGGCCAGGGGAAGUGGCUCUUGGAGGAUCAGAGGGAACUGGCUUAUAGAAGGGAAGGAGAAAGUGAAGAGGAAGAAAUUAAAGGAAAAAUCAGGAGCUUGACAAUUCCUUGAGAGUUGAAGAAAAUGUUGAGAGUUGAAGAAACUUGGGAAUGGAAAAGUCUGAGGAAAUUUAGAAGUAACCAAGAGACAAAAGAAUCUUCAUGCAAUCUUCUUAGUAAAUAUAAUAAGACAUGGAAUAUAAGGAGACCCAGUAGAUGCUACAUAAUAAAUUCUGGUCCAACCUUUUACUUUGAAUCUGUGUGUGUCACCCUGCCUCAUAUGUGUUUCCUGUAAACAACAUAUAGUAGAAUUCGUUUUUUUAAUCUACUCUAUCUGCUUCCAUUUAAUGGGUGAGUUAAUCCCAUUACAUUCAGUGUUAUGAUUACUAAUUCUAUACUGUCCUCCAUAGUAUUAUCCCAUUUAGAUCCUGCUCUAUUCCCUUUCACUCUGUUCCUCCUCAACAGUGUAUUACUUUUUGUCACCCCUCCCCAGUUUUCCUUCCCUUCAAUUACUCCUGCUUCCUUUGUCUUAUUCCCCUUCUCUUAUUAUCAUUCACUGUAGGGUUAGAUAGAAUUUUUAACCCACUGGAUUUACUUGUUUUUUCCUCUCUUAGCCAGUUACAUUGAGAAAAAAGUUUAAGCCUUGCCAUUCACCACCCUUAUCCUCCCCACUCAGUAAUGAUUUUUCAUGCCUCU